rnacentral:rRNA from 1 species
GUCCCGCAACGAGCGCUAACCCUUACCUUAGUUGUUUUCCCGAAAGGAUUACCCUCUAAGGGGACUGCCCCGGACAACGGGGAGGAAGGUGGGGAUGACGUCAAGUCCGCAUGCUCCUUACGUCUAGGGCUACACACGUCCUACAAUGGGGUCGACAGUGGGAUGCAAAGCCGCGAGGUGGAGCCAAUCCCCAAACGGCCUCUCAGUUCGGAUAGUAGUCUGCAACUCGACUACUUGAAGUCGGAAUCGCUAGUAAUGGCGGACCAGCAUGCCGCCGUGAAUACGUUCCCGGGUCUU